UACGAAGGGGGCUAGCGUUGCUCGGAAUUACUGGGCGUAAAGGGCGCGCAGGCGGCCGUUCAAGUCAGAUGUGAAAGCCCCGGGCUCAACUUGGGAAUUGCGCUCGAAACUACGAUGCUGGAGUGUGGCAGAGGAAGGUGGAAUUCCACGUGUAGCGGUGAAAUGCGUAGAGAUGUGGAGGAACACCGAUGGCGAAGGCAGCCUUCUGGGCCAACACUGACGCUCAUGCACGAAAGCGUGGGGAGCAAACAGG
rnacentral:rRNA from 1 species